AGCUUUGCACAGUGGCAGUAUCAUAACCAAUGAAGUUAAUCUGAGGUGUGAUUAUUGCUAGUUGAAAAUCCGCUCCUCUCCCCUUCCUGGUGGUAGAUGGUAUAGUACUACUGUAGACAGCAGAAACUG
rnacentral:snRNA from 1 species